GAAUCAUGUCUUCCUGGGAAGCCUGGCAAGGUGGUAGGUUGAAAGUGGUUCUUGGAGACCCAAGAUCGGGUGGGAGAGAAGGAGGUUGGGUUGGCGCAUCCCCAGAUUUGGGUUCUGUGACCCAUUUCCUCUUGUCUAGAACCUUCUCCGCAGCUAUAAAGGCCAUUCCCUGCUGUGCACCUUGUGCUGAGGCAGCUGGAGGUUCACGGUGCUGUCUGAAGUGCUGUACACGGGCCCCUGGACUCUGGGUUAAUGAAAGCCAGUGUCAACCUUAUCCAUUGGUGCUGUGGUUUGAAUAUGAGAUGCCCCUAGAGGCUCAUCUGUUUGGAUACUUGGUCCCCAGUUGGUAGCACUGGUCUCCCAAUAGCACUAUUAUCUGGUGUGGUGGGAGUUUUAGAAGGUGGAGUCUCACUUCAGAAAGUGGGUCCCUGGGUGUAUCCCUUGAGGAUUUAUCCCUCUGCCUUCUGAACUUUGGGGAUGUGAGGAGCUGUCCUGCUACCACAGAGCUGCGUGCUGCUGUGCCUUCUCUGCCUGGUGGAUAGCAUCCCCUCCAACAAUGAACCCCUGAGUUGUCUUUUGCCAGACAUUUGGUCACAGCAAAGGGAAAAUAUCGAAUAUAAUUAGUGUAUGAGUGAAUCCCAGGCUGGAGAGAGACUUGGGUGCUGAGAAGAGUAAACUGAAGAACCGUCUUUAGAAGUGGGGUCUAGUGGGCUGGAGAGAUGGCUCAGCGGUUAAGAGCACUGACUGCUCUUCCAGAGGUCCUGAGUUCAAUUCCCAGCAACCACAUGGUGGCUCACAACCAUCUGUAGUGGAAUCUGAUGCCCUCCCUUCUGGUGUGUCUGAAAACAGCUACAGUGUACUCAUAUACAUAACAUAAA
rnacentral:lncRNA from 1 species